GCCAGGAGGGGUGGCACCUGCCUGUAAUCCCAGCAAAUCGGGAGGCUGAGGCAGGAGGAUCUCAAGUUCUAGGCCAGCCUCAGCAACUUAGUGAGAGCCUGUCUCAA
rnacentral:sRNA from 1 species